rnacentral:rRNA from 2 species
UACGAAGGGUGCAAGCGUUACUCGGAAUUACUGGGCGUAAAGCGUGCGUAGGUGGUCUGUUAAGUCUGAUGUGAAAGCCCCGGGCUCAACCUGGGAAUGGCAUUGGAUACUGGCAGUCUAGAGUGCGGUAGAGGGGUGUGGAAUUCCCGGUGUAGCAGUGAAAUGCGUAGAUAUCGGGAGGAACAUCCGUGGCGAAGGCGACACCCUGGACCAGCACUGACACUGAGGCACGAAAGCGUGGGGAGCAAACAGG